rnacentral:rRNA from 1 species
GACGAACGCUGGCGGCGUACUUAACACAUGCAAGUCGAACGAAGUGGCGAACGGGUGAGUAACGCGUAAUCAACCUGCCCUUCAGAGGGGGACACCAGUUGGAAACGACUGCUAAUACCGCAUACUGAAGGAGGGGAUUGCGUCUGAUUAGCUAGUGGGAGGGGUAACGGCCCACCAAGGCGAUGAUCAGUAGCCGGGCUGAGAGGAGGAACCGCCACAUUGGGACUGGGGCACGGCCCAGACUCCUACCGGAGGCAGCAGUGGGGAAUCUUCCGCAAUGGACGAAAGUCUUACGGAGCAAAGCCGCGUGAGAGAUGACGGCCGUCGGGUUUGAAAGCUCUGUUAAUCGGGACGCGGUACCGGAAUAGAAAGCCACGGCUAACUACGUGCCAGCAGCCGCGGUAAUAC